rnacentral:tRNA from 1 species
GGGCGCGUAGCUCAGCGGAAGAGCACCCGCCUUACAAGCGGGGGGUCGCUGGUUCGAACCCAGCCGCGCCCA